GAUGAAGAACGUAGCGAAAUGCGAUAAGUAAUGCAAAUUGCAGAAUUCCAGUGAGUCAUCGAAUCUUUGAACGCACAUUGCGCCCUUUGGUAUUCCGAAGGGCAUGCCUGUUCGAGCGUCAUUAUCACCCCUCAAGCCCUCGGCUUGGUGUUGGACGGUUUGGUGGAGGCCCCCUCGGGGGCUCCUGCCCCUCCCAAAGACAAUGACGGCGGCCUCGUUGGACCCCCGGUACACUGAGUUCUUCACGGGACACGUAUCGGACACAUGGGUUUACGGGACACGGUCUGCCUCCCCUCAGGGAGAAUCUUUCUAAGGUUGACCUCGGAUCAGGUAGGGAUACCCGCUGAACUUAAGCAUAUCAAUAAGCGGAGGA
rnacentral:misc_RNA from 1 species